GUUUUCACCCUCGGGUGACAGGGAGACAGGUUGGUGCAUGGUUGUCGUCAGCUCGUGUCGUGAGAUGUUGGGUUAAGUCCCGCAACGAGCGCAACCCCUACGUUUAGUUGCUAACAGGUGAAGCUGAGCACUCUAGACGAACUGCCGUUGACAAAACGGAGGAAGGUGGGAUGACGUCAAAUCAUCAUGCCCCUUAUGUUCUGGGCUACACACGUGCUACAAUGGCCGGUACAGACGGAGGCGAAGCCGCGAGGCGGAGCAAAUCCGAAAAAGCCGGUCUCAGUUCGGAUUGCAGGCUGCAAUUCGCCUGCAUGAAGUCGGAAUCGCUAGUAAUCGCAGGUCAGCAUACUGCGGUGAAUACGUUCCCGGGCCUU
rnacentral:rRNA from 1 species